rnacentral:rRNA from 1 species
UACGGGGGGGGGCAAGCGUUGUUCGGAAUUACUGGGCGUAAAGGGCUCGUAGGCGGCCAACUAAGUCAGACGUGAAAUCCCUCGGCUUAACCGGGGAACUGCGUCUGAUACUGGAUGGCUUGAGAUUGGGAGAGGGAUGCGGAAUUCCAGGUGUAGCGGUGAAAUGCGUAGAUAUCUGGAGGAACACCGGUGGCGAAGGCGGCUGCCUGGGCCAGUUCUGACGCUGAGGCGCGAAAGCGUGGGGAGCAAACAGG